rnacentral:rRNA from 1 species
GACGCACUCUCAGAGUUUGAUCCUGGCUCAGGACGAACGCUGGCGGCGUGCCUAACACAUGCAAGUCGAACGGAGAGUUUAUUUCGGUAAACUCUUAGUGGCGAACGGGUGAGUAACGCGUAGGCAACCUGCCCUUCAGCCGGGGACAACGUUCCGAAAGGGACGCUAAUACCGGAUACGAAGGAGGGAGCGCAUGCUUCCUCUUUGAAAGAUGGCCUCUACAUGUACGCUAUCGCUGAAGGAUGGGCCUGCGUCCGAUUAGCUGGUUGGUGAGGUAACGGCCCACCAAGGCGACGAUCGGUAGCCGGUCUGAGAGGAUGAACGGCCACAUUGGGACUGAGACACGGCCCAG